GCCUGAGUGGCUCAGUUGGUUAAGCGUCUGACUUCAGCUCAGGUCAUGAUCUCACAGUUCGUGGGUUUGAGCCCCACGUCAGGCU
rnacentral:tRNA from 1 species